rnacentral:rRNA from 1 species
GUGGAUUAGAUACCCUGGUAGUCCACGCCCUAAACGAUGUCAACUGGUUGUUGGAGGAGUUAAAUCCUUUAGUAACGAAGCUAACGCGUGAAGUUGACCGCCUGGGAAGUACGGCCGCAAGGUUAAAACUCAAAGGAAUUGACGGGGGCCCGCACAAGCGGUGGAUUAUGUGGAUUAAUUCGAUGCAACGCGAAAAACCUUACCUACCCUUGACAUGCUAGGAACUUGCCAGAGAUGGCUUGGUGCCCGAAAGGGAGCCUAGACACAGGUGCUGCAUGGCCGUCGACAACU